GAUGAACGCUGGCGGCGUGCCUAAUACAUGCAAGUCGAGCGAACAGACGAGGAGCUUGCUCCUCUGACGUUAGCGGCGGACGGGUGAGUAACACGUGGAUAACCUACCUAUAAGACUGGGAUAACUUCGGGAAACCGGAGCUAAUACCGGAUAAUAUAUUGAACCGCAUGGUUCAAUAGUGAAAGACGGUUUUGCUGUCACUUAUAGAUGGAUCCGCGCCGCAUUAGCUAGUUGGUAAGGUAACGGCUUACCAAGGCAACGAUGCGUAGCCGACCUGAGAGGGUGAUCGGCCACACUGGAACUGGAACACGGUCCAGACUCCUACGGGAGGCAGCAGUAGGGAAUCUUCCGCAAUAGGCGAAAGCCUGACGGAGCAACGCCGCGUGAGUGAUGAAGGUCUUCGGAUCGUAAAACUCUGUUAUUAGGGAAGAACAAAUGUGUAAGUAACUAUGCACGUCUUGACGGUACCUAAUCAGAAAGCCACGGCUAACUACGUG
rnacentral:rRNA from 1 species